UGUGAAUUUUGAAAAUCAUAUAAUAAAAAAUUGAAACACAUACCGAAUAAAAAAGAGGCUAUAAUUUCUCAUCAAUAAAAAUGGAUUUAAUAAGAUCAAUCCAAGAUUCCAAGCAGGUGGUAUGUUGAGGUGGAUCGGGUCAUAUCAGGUAUGGUCGGGUCGGGUCGGCCCACGGCCAAGCCCAAUCCUAAACCUUCACUCGGCCCUUCGUCUCCUACCAGUCUUCCUCAUCUUCAUCGUAUUCGGCUUCAGCUAGGACCAGACCACCAGCUUCGUCGUCGUCGUCUUCUUUUUCUUCAGUUUCUUUGGAGGCUUUAUAAUCACUAAAUGGAAGGGAUGAAGAAAGAGUUCUGUGUUUCCCCAAUUUUUUCUCCUUUUUUGGUCCAAUAAGUCGAUUCCUUUCCUGUCACUUUGUUGUCCAUCAUCCACUCGUGCUAAUGAAAUGAGACACUCGGCAGCUGAAUUGGCGGGAGUUAUUGGCCGGGCAUUGGUUAUGGCGGCCAACAAAAUGUCACCGGUUCAGAUUUGGUCCCCGUCAUUGGAACAAACAUUGCAUCAGCUUGGCUGUCGAGAUUUCCUCACUCCGACCCUUGUUGGACGAGUGAUCGAUCCUUUCCUCCUCGGCAAUCAUCACCUUGCUUUUGGAUUCUUCAAUUGGGCUGCCCAGCAACCUGGAUUCAGUCACUCCUCUGUCUCUUACCAAUCUGUGCUGAAAUCUCUCUCCAUGUCUCGGCAGUACAGCUCCAUUGACAAGCUCUUGAAGCAAGCCAGGGUGCAGAGGAUUGCAUUGCAUCCUUCUGUUCAUCGUUUGAUCAUUAGUUCACUUAUCUCAGGACGGAGAACCCAUGUGGCGUUCUUGGUGUUUAAUGAGAUUGGCGCAGCAGUCCGGGAGAUCGGGCCUGAAGUUUGUAACUCACUUCUAGCAGCAUUGUCGUCUGAAGGGAAUGUAACGAAUGCAUAUAAGGUGUUCGAUGAAAUGGUCAAGAGAGGCGUUCCUUUGAGUACACUUGGUUUUGGGGUUUUCUUAUGGCGAGCUUGCAGAAAGACGGGAUUAAGUGAGAUUUUUAACUUUUUGGACGAGUUUAAGAAGUUUAACUCCAAGGGGUUCGACGGAUCCAUCAUUGCUCUUUUAACAGUUCAUGGAUUGUGCAUGGAUUCUCGAGCGAAGGAGGCGGCAUCUGCUUUAGAAGAGUUGAGAAAACGAAACUGCAAGCCUGAUUUCAUGGCAUACAGAAUUGUAGCCGAGGCGUUGCGCGAGAUCGGGGAUGUGGUUGACGUCGAGAUGGUUCUGAAAAAGAAGCGUAAGUUAGGCGUGGCGCCGAGAAUGGAUGACUACAGAGAACUUAUUCUUCAGUUUGUUUCCGAGCGGCUGAUAAAUGAAGCUAAGGAAUUGGGUGAAGUAAUCGUGCUCGGAAAUUUCCCAAUGGACGACGAUGUUCUGAAUGUCCUCAUAGGAUCUGCAUCCGCUUCCGACCCUUUACAAGCCGUCUCAUUUUUAAGGUUUAUGGUCGAGAAAGAAAGAUUCCCAGCUCUUCGAACAUUGAUCAAAUUGAGCGAAAAUCUCUGCAAGCUAGAGAAAGGCGACGAGUUGGUAGAAGUUUUCCAGCUCUUGUCGACAAAAGAUUACUUCUACAACAUGGAGAGUUAUUCUGUGAUGGUUUCGUUCCUUUGCAAAGCUGCAAGAAUCAAAGAAGGUUAUCGGGUUCUUCAGGAGAUGAAGAAAAAAGGCCUGUCUCCAGAUGUUUCGAUUUACAAUUCUCUCCUCGACGCUUGCUGCAGGGAGGAUCUAAUCCGGCCUGCGAAACGCCUCUGGGAUGAAAUGUUCGCCAGCGGCUGUUGUGGCGAUUUGAAGAGCUACAACAUCCUCAUUAAAAAGUUUUCUGAGCUAGGACAAGUUGAAGACGCCUGUCGCCUGUUCGAUCUCAUGUUUGUUAAAGGAACGGAACCUAAUGAGUCGACGUACAAAAUUCUCCUUCAGAGCCUUUGCGAAGCGAAAGAUCUCGAAAUGGCUGUUCGAAUCUUCGACAAAUCUGUCGAACAGGACGCAACACUCGGAAACAGAUUGCUGCCUGGAUUCAUUCUCUGUUUAUGCAAAUCAGGUUUCCAUCGCCGGGCUUGUAAAUUGCUGCAAAGCGGCGUUGCCUACGAUCAGGAGUCGAAUUUAACUUUACUGAGACAUUUGGCUAACAUUGGAGAGCUUCCAAUGGCUACCAAACACCUUCAAUGGAUUGCAGAGAAAUUCCCUGCAGUGGUACAUGCUAUUCGAAUCGAAUUAGCUUCGGCAUGGCUUCCAUCUUCUUUGAAACCGGACCCGAUCGAGAUGCUGUUGGUGGAAAUAGUGAAGGUAUCCAAGCUUGCUAUAUAACAUCCAUAUAUAUAUAUAUAUGUAUAUAUUGUUGGGAUCAAUGGCCAAUCCAAUAAAUGAAGAAAUACAGGAAGAAAAAAGGCUUCAAUUUUGAGUAAUGCAGGUGGAGGAGGUGAGGCAAUCAAUGGAUAGAAGAUGCCGGAAUUGUGAAAAGCUUAGGGUGUGUUUGUUUGGGGGUUUGAAUUUUGAGUUGAGAUUUGAAUAGUAAAAUUUUUGAAUUUGAAUAGUGUACGAUGUGAUACAAAUAGGUGUUGAUGUGAUAUUUUGAAUGUAAAAUUGAUUUUUAGUAUAAUAUAAAAAAAAUAAAAUAGGUCUUUGAUUUGAUUUUUUUGGGGAGAAAAUGGAAUGAAUAGUGAAGAUCUAAUCCAAUUUCCCAAACAAACACACCCUUAGUGUACAGAGGUAUGGUAUUUAAUUUCUUGGAAUAUUUUCUAAUUAGGUAUUUAAAAUCGGAUCCUGUCGAAAUUUUUUUGGGUAGAAUAUGUAUCACAAAUGGUGUGAUAAACUAACUUUUAGAUGGUUUGUUUGUUUAGUGUUUUGAUCCGAAGAUUUUUUUUUUUUUUUUCUUUUAAUGUGAGAUAUAUAGAUCAUAUCGAAAAUAUAAACUAUAAUGUUUCUUGGCUAAUUUUUUAGACUAAAAAAUAAUAAAUAUUUUAUUGCAAAAAUGAUAAUAGAUAAGUUAUUUUUAAAAUUUUAAUUAAAAAUUAAGAUAAAUUAAAGAAAAAAAAAAAAGAAUAAAUUUACUAUUUAUAUAGCAUCAGACAAUUUUACUAAACACAUCUAUCUAUCAGAAGACUUGUAUUAUAUACACAAGUUUAUUAAGAAAAACACCAAAGCUUACACGAAAUUAAAAUCACCAAAACAGAUAGAUCUACUGCAGCUGCUGCUAAUUUUGCAUUAUUUGUAUACACAAAACACAUUCUCGCUGUACCCAGAGAGAAGAAUCAAAUCCAGCACUGCUAAAAUAAUAAACUGUAACCAAACACAAACAACACCAAACCAAACAGGAAAUCCAACGAAAACCCGAAACCGAAAAUCUUGCAGUUAAAAA